GCUCCAGUGGUUUAGUGGUUAGACCGUCCGCCUCGGAUAAGGGAGCUCUCGGGUUCGAACCCCUGCUGAAUCA